GUGGGGAAUCUUGCGCAAUGGGCGAAAGCCUGACGCAGCCAUGCCGCGUGAAUGAUGAAGGUCUUAGGAUUGUAAAAUUCUUUCACCGGGGACGAUAAUGACGGUACCCGGAGAAGAAGCUCCGGCUAACUUCGUGCCAGCAGCCGCGGUAAUACGAAGGGGGCUAGCGUUGCUCGGAAUUACUGGGCGUAAAGGGCGCGUAGGCGGACAGCUUAGUCAGAGGUGAAAGCCCAGGGCUCAACCUUGGAAUUGCCUUUGAUACUGGCUGUCUUGAGUUGAGGAGAGGUGAGUGGAACUCCGAGUGUAGAGGUGAAAUUCGUAGAUAUUCGGAAGAACACCAGUGGCGAAGGCGACUCACUGGCCCAAUACUGACGCUGAGGCGCGAAAGCGUGGGGAGCAAACAGGAUUAGAAACCCCAGUAGUCC
rnacentral:rRNA from 1 species